rnacentral:rRNA from 1 species
GAUGAACGCUAGCUACAGGCUUAACACAUGCAAGUCGAGGGGCAGCACAGUGUAGCAAUACACGGGUGGCGACCGGCGCACGGGUGCGUAACACGUAUCCAAUCUGCCCGUUACUCGGGGAUAGCCUUCUGAAAGGAAGAUUAAUACCCGAUGGCAUGUAUUUCCGGCAUCGGAGAUACAUUAAAGAUUUAUCGGUAACGGAUGAGGAUGCGUACGAUUAGCUAGUUGGCGGGGUAACGGCCCACCAAGGCGACGAUCGUUAGGAGUUCUGAGAGGAAGGUCCCCCACACUGGAACUGAGACACGGUCCAGACUCCUACGGGAAGCAGCAGUGAGGAAUAUUGGUCAAUGGUCGAGAGACUGAACCAGCCAAGUAGCGUGAAGGAUGACUGCCCUAUGGGUUGUAAACUUCUUUUGUUUGGGAAUAAAGUCAGGUACGUGUACCUGUUUGUAUGUACCAUUCGAAUAAGCAUCGGCUAAUUCCGUGCCAGCCGCCGCGGUAAUAC